rnacentral:rRNA from 1 species
GACGAACGCUGGCGGCGCGCUUAACACAUGCAAGUCGAACGGAAAGGCCUGCUUUCCCUUGUGGAUUGCGGGUACUCGAGUGGCGAACGGGUGAGUAACACGUGAGUGAUCUGCCCCCAACUUGGGUAUAAGCCUGGGAAACUGGGUCUAAUUCCCGAUAGGACUGCAGGGUGGUGCCUGUGGUGGAAAACGAUUUUCUAGUGGUUGGGGAUGAGCUCGCGGCCUAUCAGCUUGUUGGUGGGGUAAUGGCCUACCAAGGCGGCGACGGGUAGCCGGCCUGAGAGGGUGGACGGCCACAUUGGGACUGAGAUACGGCCCAGACUCCUACGGCAGGCAGCCGUGGGGAAUAUUGCACAAUGAGCGGAAGCCUGAUGCAGCGACGCCGCGUGGGGGAUGACGGCCUUCGGGUUGUAACCUCCUUUCGACAGCGAGGAAGCCACCUGGUUGGAAGGGUGGUGACGGUAGUGGUAGAAGAAGCACCGGCUAACUACGUG